GACGGAGGGUGCAAGCGUUGUCCGGAAUUACUGGGCGUAAAGAGCUCGUAGGUGGUUUGUCGCGUUGUUCGUGAAAACUCACAGCUCAACUGUGGGCGUGCGGGCGAUACGGGCAGACUUGAGUACUGCAGGGGAGACUGGAAUUCCUGGUGUAGCGGUGGAAUGCGCAGAUAUCAGGAGGAACACCGGUGGCGAAGGCGGGUCUCUGGGCAGUAACUGACGCUGAGGAGCGAAAGCGUGGGGAGCGAACAGG
rnacentral:rRNA from 1 species